rnacentral:rRNA from 1 species
GAUGAACGCUAGCGGCAGGCCUAACACAUGCAAGUCGAGGGGCAGCACGUCUUCGGAUGGUGGCGACCGGCGCACGGGUGCGUAACGCGUAUGCAACUUACCUCUAACUGGAGAAUAGCCUUCCGAAAGGAAGAAUAAUACUCCAUAAUAUUACGAUGUGGCAUCACAUUGUUCUUAAAGCUUCGGCGGUUAGAGAUGGGCAUGCGUCUGAUUAGCUUGUUGGUGAGGUAACGGCUCACCAAGGCAACGAUCAGUAGGGGGCCUGAGAGGGUUAUCCCCCANACUGGUACUGAGACACGGACCAGACUCCUACGGGAGGCAGCAGUGAGGAAUAUUGGUCAAUGGACGAAAGUCUGAACCAGCCAUGCCGCGUGCGGGAUGAAUGCCCUAUGGGUUGUAAACUGCUUUUUAUAUAGGAAUAAACCCCUUUACGUGUAAAGGGCUGAAGGUACUAUAAGAAUAAGGACCGGCUAACUCCGUGCCAGCAGCCGCGGUAA